UACGUAGGGUGCGAGCGUUGCCCGGAUUUAUUGGGCGUAAAGAGCUCGUAGGCGGUUUGUCGCGUCUGCUGUGAAAACUCGGGGCUUAACCCCGGGCCUGCAGUGGGUACGGGCAGACUAGAGUGCGGUAGGGGAGACUGGAAUUCCUGGUGUAGCGGUGAAAUGCGCAGAUAUCAGGAGGAACACCGGUGGCGAAGGCGGAUCUCUGGGCCAUUACUGACGCUGAGGAGCGAAAGCGUGGGGAGCGAACAGG
rnacentral:rRNA from 1 species